AUGAUCUCGCAGUUCUUCGUGCUGUCGCAGCGCGGCGACCACAUCGUCUUCCGCGACUAUCGCGGCGAGGUGCCCAAGGGCAGCGCGGAGAUCUUCUUCCGGAAGGUCAAGUUCUGGAACGAGGACGAGGCCGAGGAGGCGCCUCCAGUGUUCAAUAUCGAUGGGGUUAAUUAUGUCCAUGUCAAAGUCGCGGGAUUAUUUUUUGUGGUAACCACAAUGGUCAAUAUCUCGCCGUCGCUUCUCUUGGAACUUCUGCAAAGGAUCGCACGUGUUACCAAAGACUAUCUCGGUGUUCUAAAUGAAGAUUCCCUGAGGAAGAAUUUCAUUUUAGUGUACGAGUUGCUUGAUGAAGUUAUCGACUUCGGAUACCCACAAACAACUUCUACCGAGGCUCUGAAGUCGUACAUAUUUAAUGAGCCAAUCAUGGUUGAUGCUGGACGGUUGCCACCACUUGGUCCUGCUGCUAUGUUCAUGCAAGGCACAAAGCGGAUGCCGGGUACAGCUGUGACAAAAUCAGUUGUUGCUAAUGAGCCAGGUGGGAAAAAGAGGGAGGAAAUUUUUGUUGAUAUCAUUGAGAAAAUAAGUGUGACAUUCAGCUCUAGUGGUUAUAUACUUACCUCUGAGAUUGAUGGAACCAUCCAAAUGAAAAGUUACCUUAGUGGAAAUCCAGAAAUCCGCCUAGCUCUGAAUGAGGAUUUAGGCAUUGGAAAGAAUAGCUCUUCUACACAUGAUUACAGAAGUUCUUCUGGAGGAGGAUCAGUUGUUCUUGAUGAUUGUAACUUCCAUGAGUCAGUGCAGCUUGACAGUUUUGACAUUGACAGAACUCUGCAUUUAAUACCACCUGAUGGAGAAUUUCCAGUGAUGAACUACCGGAUGACUCAAGAAUUUAAGCCGCCCUUCCGUGUCACCGCACUAAUUGAAGAAGCUGGUCCAUCUCGGGCUGAAGUUCUAUUGAAAAUACGGGCAGACUUUCCUGCGAAUGUGACUGCCAACACAAUCACAGUACAAAUGCCAGUGCCCUCUUACACAAUGAGGGCAAGUUUUGAACUGGAAGCUGGAGCAGUUGGACAGACAACGGAUUUUAAAGAAGGAACUAGGAGACUGGAGUGGAAUCUAAAGAAGAUUGUUGGCGGUUCUGAGCAUACCCUUCGUGCAAAACUCACAUUUUCCCAGGAGUCACAUGGAAAUCUCACAAAGGAAGCCGGGCCAGUAAACAUGAAUUUCACUAUACCUAUGUACAAUGCUUCAAAGUUGCAGGUCAGAUAUCUUCAGAUAGCGAAGAAAUCCAAAACAUACAAUCCAUACAGGUGGGUGAGAUAUGUGACGCAGGCCAACUCGUAUGUAGCUCGUCUAUGA
rnacentral:rRNA from 1 species